rnacentral:rRNA from 1 species
GACGAACGCUGGCGGCGUGCCUAAUACAUGCAAGUCGAACGCAUUUUCUUUCACCGUAGCUUGCUACACCGAAAGAAAAUGAGUGGCGAACGGGUGAGUAACACGUGGGUAACCUGCCCAUCAGCGGGGGAUAACACUUGGAAACAGGUGCUAAUACCGCAUAAUUCCAUUUACUGCAUGGUAGAUGGAUGAAAGGCGCUUUCGCGUCACUGAUGGAUGGACCCGCGGUGCAUUAGCUAGUUGGGGGGGUAACGGCCUACCAAGGCUGCGAUGCAUAGCCGACCUGAGAGGGUGAUCGGCCACACUGGGACUGAGACACGGCCCAGACUCCUACGGGAGACAGCAGUAGAGAAUCUUCGGCAAUGGACGCAAGUCUGACCGAGCAACGCCGCGUGAGUGAAGAAGGUUUUCGGAUCGUAAAGCUCUGUUGUUAGAAAAGAACAAGGAUGAGAGUGGAAAGUUCAUCCCUUGACGGUAUCUAACCAGAAAGCCACGGCUAACUACGUGCCAGCCGCCGCCGUAA